rnacentral:tRNA from 3 species
GGCCCGAUGGUCAAGUGGUCAAGACGGGGGCCUCUCACGCCCCAAUCGGGAGUUCGACUCUCCCUCGGGUCACCA